AGUGAACGCUGGCGGUAGGCCUAACACAUGCAAGUCGAACGGCAGCACAGUAAGAGCUUGCUCUUACGGGUGGCGAGUGGCGGACGGGUGAGGAAUACAUCGGAAUCUACUUUUUCGUGGGGGAUAACGUAGGGAAACUUACGCUAAUACCGCAUACGACCUACGGGUGAAAGCAGGGGAUCUUCGGACCUUGCGCGAUUGAAUGAGCCGAUGUCGGUUUAGCUAGUUGGCGGGGUAAAGGCCCACCAAGGCGACGAUCCGUAGCUGGUCUGAGAGGAUGAUCAGCCACACUGGAACUGAGACACGGUCCAGACUCCUACGGGAGGCAGCAGUGGGGAAUAUUGAACAAUGGGCGCAAGCCUGAUCCAGCCAUACCGCGUGGGUGAAGAAGGCCUUCGGGUUGUAAAGCCCUUUUGUUGGGAAAGAAAAGCAGCAGGUUAAUACCCCGCUGUUCUGACGGUACCCAAAGAAUAAGCACCGGCUAACUUCGUG
rnacentral:rRNA from 1 species